GAUGAACGCUGGCGGCGUGACUAACACAUGCAAGUCGAGCGAUGAAACCGCCUCCGGGCGGACAUGUAGCGGCGAACGGGUGAGUAACACGUGACCGACCUGCCCCCCGCCCAGGGACAGCCCCCCGAAAGGGGGAUUAAUACCUGGUACUCCGGAAGCGGCGCAUGCCGCGUCCGGGAAAGCUUUCGCGGCGGGGGAUGGGGUCGCGGCCCAUCAGGUAGACGGCGGGGCAGAGGCCCACCGUGCCGACGACGGGUAGCCGGGUUGAGAGACCGACCGGCCACAUUGGGACUGAGAUACGGCCCAGACUCCUACGGGAGGCAGCAGUGGGGAAUUUUGCGCAAUGGGGGCAACCCUGACGCAGCAACGCCGCGUGCGGGACGAAGGCGUCCGCGUCGUAAACCGCUUUCAGCGGGGAACACUUCAACGAGGGUACCCGCAGAAGAAGCCCCGGCUAAAUACGUGCCAGCAGCCGCGGUAA
rnacentral:rRNA from 1 species